rnacentral:rRNA from 1 species
CGGCCUUGACAUACUAAGAACUUUCCAGAGAUGGAUUGGUGCCUUCGGGAACUUAGAUACAGGUGCUGCAUGGCUGUCGUCAGCUCGUGUCGUGAGAUGUUGGGUUAAGUCCCGNAACGAGCGCAACCCUUUUCCUUAUUGCCAGCGGGUCAUGCCGGGAACUUUAAGGAUACUGCCAGUGACAAACUGGAGGAAGGCGGGGACGACGUCAAGUCAUCAUGGCCCUUACGGCCAGGGCUACACACGUGCUACAAUGGUCGGUACAAAGGGUUGCUACCUCGCGAGAGGAUGCUAAUCUCAAAAAGCCGAUCGUAGUCCGGAUCGCAGUCUGCAACUCGACUGCGUGAAGUCGGAAUCGCUAGUAAUCGCGGAUCAGAAUGCCGCGGUGAAUACGUUCCCGGGCCUUGUACACACCGCCCGUCACACCAUGGGAGUUUGUUGCACCAGAAGUAGGUAGUCUAACCGCAAGGAGGACGCUUACCACGGUGUGGCCGAUGACUGGGGUGAAGUCGUAACAAGGUAGGCGUAGAUGA